rnacentral:rRNA from 1 species
UGGGGAAUUUUGGACAAUGGGCGAAAGCCUGAUCCAGCAAUGCCGCGUGUGUGAAGAAGGCCUUCGGGUUGUAAAGCACUUUUGUCCGGAAAGAAAUCCUUGGCUCUAAUACAGUCGAGGGAUGACGGUACCGGAAGAAUAAGCACCGGCUAACUACGUGCCAGCAGCCGCGGUAAUACGUAGGGUGCAAGCGUUAAUCGGAAUUACUGGGCGUAAAGCGUGCGCAGGCGGUUUGCUAAGACCGAUGUGAAAUCCCCGGGCUCAACCUGGGAACUGCAUUGGUGACUGGCAGGCUAGAGUAUGGCAGAGGGGGGUAGAAUUCCACGUGUAGCAGUGAAAUGCGUAGAGAUGUGGAGGAAUACCGAUGGCGAAGGCAGCCCCCUGGGCCAAUACUGACGCUCAUGCACGAAAGCGUGGGGAGCAAACAGGAUUAGAUACCCUGGUAGUCCACGCCCUAAACGAUGUCAACUAGUUGUUGGGGAUUCAUUUCCUUAGUAACGUAGCUAACGCGUGAAGUUGACCGCCUGGGGGAGUACGGUCGCAAGAUUAAAACUC